AGUUGCCUCGAUGAUCUACUCCAGAGCAUUGGGUGUAUCAUUAGAGUAAUAACUAUUCUGUCUACACAAACCUAAUUGAAAGAUAUCUUGAGAAUGAAAAUAUAUUACUGUGAAAUAAAUAGAGGCACGAUAUUAAGUCGACGACGUCGUUCGAAGCGUCUUUAAUACUACACGCACUCUUUUUGAUUUUAAAAUAAAGUGAGGUUAAAUCUACAUAUAUGUCAGUUUAAUAGUGUCCAAUGUUAAGACUAAAGCUUAAGGUUCUUUGUCUUCUUCUGCUGUAAACCUAACUUGGUGUUAUAUUUUUAGAAAGAAAAUUAUGAAAUACUUGGAAUUAUAUGGUGAAAUAAGAUAGGCUACAAAGAGACAUGGGUGAUCUUCGGUGAUAAAUUAAUUUGGGGUUUGAAGCAAUCUUUGACGAGAUUAAAUUGGACUUUGGAACUACGGAGAGAUUUUGGAACACGUGUGCAAAUUUUUGUUUUAAAAAUGCAGAUAGUUCUUCGCGGAUAAUGAGUGAUUCUUUUGAAGACACUUGUGCGAGCAAUUGGAAUGAGACUCGCACUGUCUCUCUCAAGUGUUUGUUUAGGAAAAAUUUAUAGAGAUUGGUACAAGGACGAUCGGCAUAACUCAAAAGUAAGCCAUCCCCCAAAUUUUAAAAUAAUGACCAAGACCAUAUGAGCUGUAAAAUACCAAAAAAGGAAGGAAUGUCCAACGUUGAAAUGCUUAGAAACAAAAAAAAAUAUGAGAGAAAUCACUCUGAGAAGGGUGUUCGGUUGUUUACCAAAGUUAUUACAAUUUAUUGUAAAAAUCUUGUGGAAAUAAACUUUGUGAAUUUGAAAUAAUUGAAAUUCAAGGGGUAGGGGAAACUAGAGCAAUUGUAAACAUGAGAAAGUUGUAAACACUGCGGUUUCUGAAUCACAUAAUAAAUUUCAGUGGACGAAACGAAAUCUCUGUGAAUUCAUAUACUAACUAAAGGGAUCCUUCUCUACUAAGAAAUGGUCGUUUGUACACUGAGAAAAAAAAAGAAGGUGCGAUUAACUUUAUUUCCUCAUAACUUUAAGACUUUUUCGGUGUAAAAAUAUAUCAACAUUUUUUAUGUUAAUUUUACACCUUUUUAAGGGUACAAUUAACAUGCAAAAGGGUAACUGUAACCCCCAAUACACCUAAAAAGGGUAAUAUUUACACCGAUUUUGGAUCAAUACUGCAAGGUAAAAUUAACAUUUCCGGAAUGUUAUUUUAACUUUUUCGGAUUUCUCUCAAGUGUAGUGAUGUAAAUCUUAUAGAUCACUCUGUAAAAAUACUUGAUGGAAUUUAAGAUGAUCUGUAAUGAUCCAUAUUCUAUGGAUCACUCUGCGAAGAUAAUUUAUGGGAGUUGACGAAGAUCAAGACCAAAGAGGAAUUAAAAAGAGUUCGAUGGAGAAAUUCUCACUUGGAGAAUGACAAAAAAAAUAAGGGACCAUCGCGCAGAGAUAAUUUACGAUCAUAAUUUAUGAGUUGUCCACAUCGUGGGUGCAGGUGCAUUCCAAAAAUAGAGACAAAAAUAGCACGCAAGCAAUAGUAAAAUAAAAAAGGAACGCAAACAACAGUAAGAAAAAUAGGGUUCAAUGAUUGGAAAAUAGUGUCUUUUGUAGCUGAGAUUGUGGUAUAAAAAGGCUGCCGAAAUUAGUAUAGUGGUUCAGUUGCCAUAGUGACUUCUCUUGAGAGCACUGGUUGUAAUCCAAAUGAGUGAAAUAAAUACUAUUGGUAGGGGAAUGUAGGCAUGGUUCGCACAGAGUGAACCUUCAAACGAUGGGAAUUUUCUCUUUGUUUGCAAAGAGCUGACCUACCAUUUCUCAUCUCGUUUCAUGAGCUUAAUAAUGAUCUAUCUUUAUGGCUAAGAAAUGACGAACUAGCUCUUUGCAAACAAAGAGAAAAUUUGCGUUGUUUUAAGGUUCACUCUGUACGAACCAUGCCAACACUCCCCUACCCAAUGUAUAUAUGAUAUUCAUCAUCCGCUGAACCUAUCCUACUGGAGGAUUUCCUGAAAGUGGUUGUGCGCUUGGAAAAUUUUUGAUUUUCUCAAAUACCACUGCACUACACGUUAUCAUAAUGCCCAACGCACAAUAACUUUUGUUUAGUAUAAACAUGUUUUUGACAUUUCAAUGAGAGUGAAUGAGAUCUAGAUCUAGUCAUCUCGCUCACUCUCAUGGGAAAUUUUGAAAACAUGUUUACAAACAAAAGUUAUUGUGCGCUGGUCAUAAGACCAAGUAGUUUAAACAUAAAAAUCAGUGUUUACAACUACUCCAUGUUUUUUACUGCUCCAGUCUCAACUAUUCUUUGUUUGUUUUAAUGAAAAACACUUAUGAUUUAAUGUCAAAAAUAUAUAUAGUGAUUAAUAACUCCGAUACCUCCCUCCCAUUAAGCUCAUAUUAUUUAGGGAUGUUUUUUUUCUAUUUUAUUCUUAUACGAUUACCCCUCUCAUUCCCUUCGAAAAGCAUGCUUUUUAGUUCAUUUUGAUUAUGGUUCCAGCAAUUUCUUUUAUGUUUUUAUGUUGUGAUUUGUAACGCAAUUUAUGCAUCAUAACUAAGUUUUGUUUCCUUCAGUCAUGAUGAAACUUGUUCGAAAUCCUUGUUGACCUUGGCUCUCAUUGAGAGGGCUAUAACAACGUUUAGUUAGAUCUCACAAUCAUAAAUCAUGAUAUUAAGUGUCCUCAUCAUUGAAUCGACAUUAGAAUGUAAAAAUGUUUAUAUUAAUUUGUCUGAGAAUGUUUAUCUUUCAAAGUUUCGGCUUAUAUGGAUCACUCUUUGUUUAAUUGACAAAAAAUCAUAAUGUUUAUAUUUACUUUGGUCAGGAAUGUAUAUCUUACGAAAUUCCAAUCAGCAUAAAAUCAUAACAUUCUGAAAAUAGACAUCUGAUAAAAGACAAAGUAGAUCGAAGGGAGAGCAAUCAUAUAAAUAUCAUGUAUCAAUAGAAAGAGGGAGAGAAUAAACUGGACAUCGAAAGAAGCAA